CGAUUCCCGGACUCUCGUCCGGAGCCGGGGGCGGGGUGGGGGGUGGCGAUGAGGUGCCAAGGGACCUCCGCCCGCUCCCGCGGCUAGCACCUGAAGGCCGCAGAGACCUGCCCUUUCCUCCCCAGCCUUUUUUCCCCCCGCGGGACUGAGGCCAUCCUGGCAGGCGGGUCCCGAACCGAGGUAGCUCUGCCUUGCCCUCCCUAACCUCACCCGUAUUUGGCUCCAGAGUUAGCCCUCAGCUUUUCUUCCUUUAAGCAACUCCCGCUGGCGGCAUCCUUUUCAAAUAUGAUGCGUGCUUUUCUUGAAGGCGACCUUCUCAAAGUUCUGAGAAUUUCUUGUUAGGGCGGUAUUGCAGACAGAUUAAAAAAAAAAAAAAAUCACAGUAAGAAAAGGGAACAGUCAGUGUGGACAUAGUAAUACCUGGGAGGAUGUUCACACCACUGCCUAACCAGAACGCCUGUAGAUGUUUCCAGUCUCAUGAAUUAACCAAAAAAGUCCCGAUCCUGGAAUCAUCCCACGAAUACUGUGAUGUGCUGGGACUAUUCUCUGGGUUGCCAAUGGCUGAGAAUUGAAACCAUGUCAAGAACUUUGCCCAUUUCCCAUACCUCAAAAACAAACAGAAAAGAAAGGAGAAAGAAAAAAAAAAAGACCUUUUUGUCUUUGUUCAUAAUUGCAACAAACGUUUCUCAACGAUUGAACUAUCCUUGAUGAGACAAGUAGUAUUAUAGAGAAAAACGUUAAAUUGGACUUCAGCUGUACCCCUUAUUGGUGAAGUGCUUGUGCAAGAAAUCUCUUUUCCUCUUGACUUAAGAAUGGGGGACCCUAUGUAAACUUCCCCAGUGGGAACUUCUGUUUCUCCAUACCCGUUAACUGGCUUGUCAACGAUUCUGUUUUGAGAACACAAUUUUAUGUACAUCCAGAGAAUUGGACCCACCAACCCAGCAGUUUUCAAACUGCUUUGAACCUAGGAACUGGAGAGACUGGAGGAUCUCUUUCCCAGUUAACAUUUGGGUGUGGAGAAUCCUAGGGACUAUGGAGAAGGAAGAGUGUGGAUCAUCACUGGCCUUGAAUUUUAAAACAUUCAAAACAUUUUUUGUGCAGGCAUUAAUAACAGACUUGAUGAGAGAUAUCUAGCAACCGAGGACCUCAGAGUGAAAGAGUGAGGAAUCUGACAACCUUUGGAAAGGCAUGUCUUAAUUUUCCAUGAAGAUGGCAACAUGCAAAUAGGCAGUAGCCAGCUAAACUGCCCCUCUCCUACCUUGUGAAGCCUUUCAGAGGACCCUGGAGGAACAGAUUGUCAUUUUGUCUUCAGACUCGUUCACCAUCUAACCUCUCUAUUUAGACUGCCAAAUGAUGUCAAAGACAUCCUGUCAAAAGCCAAGAACUAUGAACACACAUUAAAUCUGAUGAAGUGAGAAGACUCCCAUUUUGAUAAUCCUUUUAUCUUCACUCUCCAACUAAAGUUAAGGAAGAAAGAACUAUUGACAUUCAAUAAAGAAUGAUGGGAACCCCUGCUUUCACUUGCUCUGACCCCACAUAGGAAGAGAAUUGGAACCCAGAAUAAGACUGCAAUCUAUCUAGAGAUCUUCUUUGGAAGAGGGGAUACAUGGGAAAAAGGAGUCUCAAAGAAAUGGUCUGUGGAGAAUUUCUGUCUUGAGAAGAUUUCCACAGGGAGCAGGGCUGAUAUUACUGGCUCAGCGCCUCAUGGUGAGUUACAGUUAUAAUGGGGACAGCAGGCUUCUAUAACUCUGUUUAAUAGAAAGCAGGGUACCAGCAGAGAUUUUCUAACUCUGCAUUUAAAAUCCCCCCAAUAGCUAUUAUUACUUCUUAAAACCAUUUGAGCAUUAGUGGCAAAUCAAGUGGAAUAGUUUCAUUUAAAUAAUUUAAGGGGCUGACUGAUAUGCUCACAUUGACCAUAAUAAAUAAUAUUAUUAAUUUCAAGAGAGAGAGAAGGAUCAGAAUAUUGUGAUUUUGGUUUUCUUUCAACUGAAAAGUAUUUUGAAAAGGAUUAAAGGAACAGAUUUUCCUCCUCUGAGUUUGACUCCCUGUGUAUCCCACCUCUGGUCCUUUCAUAGAAACCCCCACCCAUUGUGUUUAGCCCCAUUUACCUGCCCCUGCAGGGAGGCGUCCUGUGGAGGGAAGUUUUAGUCUUCUGUGGAACAAGCUUAUUGAUCAGCAGGGUUUGCUCACUCAAGUGUAAGGACAUUCUGAUUCUUUUCCCUUGGGUUUUCUUUUCCUUCCUAAGAAAAUUCUAUGAAGAAUUCUUUCACCCCUCUUAUUGUGUUUCCAGUCAAUCUUCCAUUUGAUAUGAUAUGAAAAAAAAUAAGCAAAAAAAAAAAAAAAAAACACAUCUUAAGACUUAUCUCCAAGUAAAAAACUGUCUACCUACAGUAGCUACUCUCCUUUGUUUACAUUAUCUGUAUUUUCUCUGUGUAUCAUCCCAGGUAGUCAUCAUAACUCCAUUUUUAAGACUGAAAUAUUGAGUAUUUUUUUAAUCGCUUCUGUGCUGCCAAUAAAUAUUUAAAUACCACUAUGUUUCUCAAUAUUCCGAUCAUAAAAAUUAUUUGAAAGUACACAUUUCUAAUUUUCUCCUUGAAAUUUGGAUUUAGGAUAUCUAGGGUAGGGCUUGGAAUCAGUAAUUGUAGUAUUUCCAGGUGAUUUAAGUAUUGGAAAUACUGAAUUAUCUCCUAAAUUUGACAAUUUAAAGACAAUUGCAUCUCUUGAUGUUCCAAAAUGAAUAUCAGCAUUAGUUAUUUCAUUUCUUCUUCCUACUAUUUUGGGCUUCAUAUUUCCUGAAACUACUGCUGUCAUUUCCAUUGAAUCCUUUCAUUUUAGAACUGAAGUUGCCUCUGCUCAGCUCUAGUCUUCUUUGAGGUGAAAUUUGAGGGUCUUUGGUCACUUGUGAUAGACUAGAGGAGAGGAGAAAAAGCUAAAAGGAAAAUUACUAUGAUAUGGCUGAUCUAGCUCUAAGGAUGAGGACCAACCAGGAAGUAACACGCUUUGAUAAAUGUGUAAUGAAAAAUUUACUUGCAGAGGAAACAAGGCUGGAGAUGGCUGGGAGCCAAGAACAUCUGUGUUCCUGGUAUCCCAAAUGUGUGGAAGUAGCAGAUGUAACUGAAUAUAUAAUAGAAACCCUGGCGCAAUUCCUAAUAAAGUGGAAGAGACCUCUGGAUAUUACAGAAAGCUUUCCAAAACCUCCCAAAAUGAAAAAUACUGGGGAACUCCUAAGUAAUAUUAUUAACUAUCUUUAGGAGAGAUAUUAUUAAAGUGGCUCAAAACAAUGAAUAUGGCUUAUUUACAUAAGACAAAGGGAAGUUACCCACUGAACACAACUGAUAACACAACUCAGGAAAUAUAUUGUGUGUAAAUAUAAUAAUGAAAUUAUGUUUAGCAUACAUAUAGGAGGU